rnacentral:rRNA from 1 species
CCGGGGCUAAACAUAUUACCGAAGCUGUGGAUUGUCCUUUGGACAAUGGUAGGAGAGCGUUCUAAGGGCGUUGAAGCAUGAUCGUAAGGACAUGUGGAGCGCUUAGAAGUGAGAAUGCCGGUGUGAGUAGCGAAAGAUGGGUGAGAAUCCCGUCCACCGAUUGACUAAGGUUUCCAGAGGAAGGCUCGUCCGCUCUGGGUUAGUCGGGUCCUAAGCUGAGGCCGACAGGCGUAGGCGAUGGAUAACAGGUUGAUAUUCCUGUACCACCUAUAAUCGUUUUAAUCGAUGGGGGGACGCAGUAGGAUAGGCGAAGCGUGCGAUUGGAUUGCACGUCUAAGCAGUAAGGCUGAGUAUUAGGCAAAUCCGGUACUCGUUAAGGCUGAGCUGUGAUGGGGAGAAGACAUUGUGUCUUCGAGUCGUUGAUUUCACACUGCCGAGAAAAGCCUCUAGAUAGAAAAUAGGUGCCCGUACCGCAAACCGACACAGGUAGUCAAGAUGAGAAUUCUAAGGUGAGCGAGCGAACUCUCGUUAAGGAACUCGGCAAAAUGACCCCGUAACUUCGGGAGAAGGGGUGCUCUUUAGGGUUAACGCCCAGAAGAGCCGCAGUGAAUAGGCCCAAGCGACUGUUUAUCAAAAACACAGGUCUCUGCUAAACCGUAAGGUGAUGUAUAGGGGCUGACGCCUGCCCGGUGCUGGAAGGUUAAGAGGAGUGGUUAGCUUCUGCGAAGCUACGAAUCGAAGCCCCAGUAAACGGCGGCCGUAACUAUAACGGUCCUAAGGUAGCGAAAUUCCUUGUCGGGUAAGUUCCGACCCGCACGAAAGGCGUAACGAUUUGGGCACUGUCUCAACGAGAGACUCGGUGAAAUCAUAGUACCUGUGAAGAUGCAGGUUACCCGCGACAGGACGGAAAGACCCCGUGGAGCUUUACUGUAGCCUGAUAUUGAAAUUCGGCACAGCUUGUACAGGAUAGGUA